rnacentral:lncRNA from 1 species
GUGCCAGAGCUGGGCCCUAGUGUAUGUAUACUUGAGAGACCUGACUUGUCCUGGAUUUGAGCUUUCACUGUCAUUCUGGUUAUAAAGUCCAGUGCUUUCUUGCCUUGGUAAUAUCAUGAGCUUAAGACAUGUAUGUCAGUAUCACAGUGCAGGUGUUGUUAGCAUAAUUCACCAUAAUUCAUGGUUCUACAUCUGGUCCUUUUUCUGUCAAAAAAAAAAAAAAGAUAUGUCAUUUAAAUGUAUGGUUAGCAUCACUCCAAUGCUGAUGAGCAUUUGAGUGUGUGUGCAGUAAUGUGUUCUGUGUUAAUUUAGCAAACAUUAUUGUGCAUUGGCCACAACUAAGUGCAGUGAAGGCAGCAGAAGUCAGUCCCACCAGAAAGCAGUUGUGUCUGGUUACAUUUAAGCUCUGUGGUGAGCACAGAAAUUCUGCCUGACAGAGCAGGAUCUCUGACUUCCUCCAUUGUGACCGUCACCAAGAAAGGACCAGAGCUCCUGACUAGAGACAGCAUCCUUCCGGGUCCCUGCAGCUUCCUUCUGGAGCGUGCAGCAUCUUAGAACCCAGUGCGGUCUAGAUCCAUUCUCACGUGGUAGAUUACUUACAUGCCGUCUCCACAGGAUUGGUUAGAACUUAAAGAACAGUGAGGCCCAGCCAGAAAGCCACGGUCCACACUUACAGUCUGACACUUACACACCCUGAAAGUCAGGUCCUUUUGUGAAGUGAAAUACUGUUGUGUGAAGAGGGCGAUGGAAUUUAGCCAACAGAAUUGAAAAGGUGCCUAACCCUCCGUGUGCUGACUUCUCCCUCCUGGCCCCUGAGCCAUGCCUUGGAGCUGAGGCUCUGUGGGGCAUUGGUCUGUGUAUGUCUCGGGUGCUUGGAGUGACUGUGCCUAAUCCAGACUCCUCCUUCAAUCCCGCAGCCUUCCUGCUUACUGACAGAGAACCACACAAGUGUCUUGGUUGACUUCGAAAUCUUUUUAUACAUUUCAGAGUUGCCUUAUAAAUAAGAGAACAACCCAGACUUAGACCUUAAUUUUCUUUGUAAUGGGGAAAGGGCUUUGUUCCACAUUUUCUUAUACUCUCAACUCAAGAUGUGCCACCCAGAUAUCUGUCUGUAAUGGCCUGAGAUGUUGCUCUCUGCCAAAUCCUGUCUGUAUUCAAUAGAAGCCUCCCUAUCAGGUUUUCUAUCUGGAAAGGGUACUUGAUAGCCAAAGAGAAGCUUCAGCCAAGCCAGACAGGAUGUCCUGAAGAGGAGCAUGUUGGGUUUUUUUGUUUGUUUGUUUGUUUUCCUAUCGCAGUGCAUUGUGGGUACUCCACACCCAAAGGGUCCUCUGGUGAAGUUCUCAAGUUGGGACUCAACAGGGAAAUGCUUGUUACGUUAGUGGCAGCUGUUGCUGUUACUAAAGUAAGAGUAAGACCACCAUUAGUACCAGAAGUGACAAGAAUUGUUAGAUCCAGCAAAAAGCAUAUGCCCCCAAGUAACUCAUACCUUCUAGUGUGUAUGCCCAAACGCUUGGGCAUCUGUUUUGAUGGCAUGCAUUUCUCAGUGUUGGUAUUCACAUCCGGUUAUGCCUCGUUUAUAUGAAGAAUAAAAUGGCCAAGUUAUGCGGUUAUAUCCUGAGACUCAAGCUAUUUGGAAAACCCUCAAAUUGGCGCUUUCAUUAUUUAAUGAUACAUUUAGGCAAAACCCCAAACAAACCAUCUGAAACCUGACUCCGAGGUGCAAUUUGUUAGCGAUGUUAUUUUUCUCGUUUGAGAAGACCAAGCGUCAGUGUUAAUUUGAAUUUCCUGUAUGAACCCCUGCAUCCCACCUUUAAGGCCCAGUCAAACGUUUGUAAGACGUCCCCUAAUAAACCUAGAGAGGCUGCUUCCUUACCCUCUCAUUUCUUUUCAUUUUAUUUGAAUGACGGAGAGUGAAGCUUUUCAGGUCCUUUUAUUUGGAAAAAUCAGACUUUGGCUAUCUGUCUCUUUCCUGAGAUUUCAGCACGUUAAAUUCCAUGAGUCAAGGGAUCUUUGGUUCUUGCUGCUUGAAUGAAAGUUUUUUUCUGCUUUUUCUUUUUUUCCUUUUCUUUUUAAAAAAAAAAAAUGUGGUUGGCUUUUCAGCCCAGAAAGCAUGAGGGCACGUGAUGCCCGUUUUCUUAUGGUACGAGUUUAGGGCUUAGUCAGUUUACAAUAGGAUUGAAUUUUGUGUCAAAACCUGAUGGUGGCUCCUCAGAUACCAUCAGCUAGAUGCUUCUAGCCGUGCCCGGCAGGCGGGCAGGUAUCAGAUUCAUCAAAGCAGUGUUCAUCCGCUAACAUUGUGCCGUCCUCCCGGAUGUAGAUCAGCACCGGAAUUUACCUGCUCAUCCCUCCGUAGAGCAAGCAGUCAGGUCUGACCAGCCAGUUUUGAGUGCCUUGGGUGGCACAUGGCAUUGUUUUGUAUCUGUUGGCUUGCAUAUUUGUGCUUUUGAGGCAGGGUCUCCUUGGGUACCCCAGAGUGGUCUUGAAUUUGAGAUCCUCCUGGCUCAACUUCCCAACUGCAGAGAUUACCACUUGUUUUGUCUUUUUGUUUUGUUUUUGUUUUUUAAAUAAAGCACUAGUCAUGUGAUAGCGUUUAGUGGGCUGUGAUGUGACUUUUAUGACGUAUGCUAUGUUAAUCUUGAUGAAAUUGCCAGAUGGUGUAAAGCCUACCUGAAUCUACGAGGUAGAAGUUUUGGGUCUGUGAGGGUCACUGAUGGCCACAAACCACCUUCUCGGUAUGCAAUCCUUGCUCCAUUCACAGAUGCAACGUUGCCAAAGGGAGUGACGAUUUUGACACUAACCGUGCCUCUUCAAUGGCACCGGGGAUGACAGGGGAGGAGGCAGUGUGUUCUUGUUGGGUGCCUAUGGUAAUGAAGCAUAUACUGUGUACCUUCUCUUCACCUCUUACUUGAAAGCAGAUUCGCAAAAUAUCCUGAAUGACUUCUCUCUCUUACACGUGAGCUCACAAGGCCCAAGAAGCCUUAGUAGAGGCACACAGUGCAGACCUUAUAGACGGUGUUCCUAACGAGACAUGGUUUAUGCUACACUCAAUAAAAGUAUUUGUGUCUGGUAGGGUUUGUUUGUUUGUUUGUUUGUUUGUUUGUUUCUCCAUUCAUCUUUCUAAAACUUUCCUGAAACUAAGCUGGUUACAGUUGUAGACAAAAAAGAUGGGUUUUGGUCAGAGAUUUGGUUCAAGAGUCGCCGUAAAUUAUUCCUGUAGGUAGAUCUAAGAGUCCAAAGGUAUGCUUUCAUUUCACCAAACAAAUUAAUAUGCAUAAAGGCCUUUUACUUUUGUACAUAUUUUGCAAAAGUUUGUCCCUCUACUAUUAAUAUUUGCUUUGUAAAAAUUACUGACAUUUAAUAAACAUUUAUAAAUG